GCAGGUGUGGUGCAAUGGCAAGCAUAGAAGUUUCGUAAUCUUCUGAUGCGAGUACCCUUCGGGAACGCUUCGCGAACGACUCUCGCCGCCUGCU
rnacentral:tRNA from 1 species